CGUUGCAUGAGGGAAGGACUGGAGGAACACGUCAGGGUGCCCGCCCCCCAAAACCCAUCACACCCCAUGGUGUAUGGUCAUGAGAGCCGCAGCUGAGCCCUGGGCAUGGUGCUAAGUCCCCCCUGCAUCGCCUCAUCAGACAUCUGCCAGCACAGAGGGGGCGCGAGCUGCACCACGCGUGAGCAGCAGCUGGAAAGAAUCAGGGAUGCCCCCGCGAACAUCUGGGGAGAGACCCCAGGCAGGUGCAAGCACGCUGUGUCCACCAGACCCCCAACGCCUAGGAAAUGUCUCCAGAUGCACCAAUCUCUCAAAAUACCGUCCGUGAAUGAUUGAAUAAACAAAUGAGCACACCA